AUUUCAUGGACCACCGUUCAAGCGCCUAAUUAUACAGAAUAAAACAACGAACCUAAAUUUUGAUUAAAUUUUAUAAUGUUGCAUGAUUUCAUUACCUCUGUAAACAGCCUGAGCUUGUAAAAUUAAAUUUGGUAUUUGGGUGUUUAGAUGUGGACUGGAGAAUGGAACACUAUAUGUUGAUACUUUAUGUCACUUUAAACCAAGAAGAAGCAAUCAGGCGACUGUUCUAUAAACAAGGAUGGAAAUAUAUCAAAGAAGACAGUUACAUAUCUGUUGUACCAGAUAAUGGACUCAUAAAUACUGAUUCACCACAGGUUAAUAAUGUCAUUGGCAAUGCAGAAGAGACUUCCUUCCACUUCGAUGUUUUAUGCUUGGAAGGAGAUAGAAAUAAACUUUUUAGUACAGACAUUACGUCAAGUAGUACCGAAGAUGAGAAAUUUGGUAAUGGUAGUACUGCGAACAGUUUUGUAAAUGUGAUUGUUAAAACUGACAACCCAGAAAAUGGUAACAAAAGAAACAAGAGUGUUAAUGGUACCCAAAAUAUUGAAUAUGUAAAUGGAAUCGAAAGCAACAAGAGUGUAAAUGGUACCCAAAAUGAUGAAUAUGUAAAUGUCCAGUGCAGUAAUGUUGUAAAUGGCAUCCAAGGCAGUUGUAUUGUAGAAGGUGUCCCAGACAAUAGUGUUGUAAUUGUUAACCAUGGCAUCAGUACCCAAAAUGAUAUCCAAGACAGAAGCAUUUUAAAUUGUGUCCCAGUUAUCAGCUCUGCUUAUGAGGAGCAAGUUAACCAUGUUACUGAUAAUGCUCAGGUAAACGAAAAUCAACAGUCUAGUAAUGCUUGUAGCAAAUUUGAACAUAAAGAAGAAAGUUCUGAUAAAACUGAUAACGAGCAGACCUCAAAAGAACAGUUAAGACAUUUGAUAUCAAGAGGAAAAUUAUUAUCCAUAAAGAACAAGAGAAUACUGAACAAAGAGAGAAAGGUGUUACAUCAGAAAAAAAAUCUUAAACAAUCAGGGAAAUGUAACUCUUCAAUCUCAGCAAAAAAGAAGCCAGUAUUUUGUUCUGAUUGUAAAGUUACCUUUACUUCACAGAAAAGAUAUGACACUCAUAAGGCACGUAAUAAUGGACAAUGUGUUUUUCCGUGCGGAUUUUGUGACAAGGUGUUUUUGUACAGGAAAUCACGUCACGAUCUGCACGUGCGUUCUGCUCAUUCCAAAGAGCGUCCCUUCAAGUGUGAUGUUUGCCAGAAAGGAUAUGUUACUUCCGAUAAGCUCAAGAUCCACAAACGUGUGCAUACUGGUGAAAGACCUUGUGUCUGUGAAGAGUGUGGGAAAGCCUUCUACAGCCGGGGUGAUCUCUCAACUCACCGGGAAUACCACCAUAUCUCCAAGGAGAGACAGGACAAUGUAACUUGUGAUCUGUGUAAUUUAACAUUCUGUAACCAGCGUUACCUCGCAUACCACAAAAAUGUUACUCAUAGUACAAGACGGGAUUUCCAUUGUCAGGCUUGCUCGAAAAGUUUCAAAAGUAACUCGUCAUUAAAACGCCAUUUGAAAUAUAUACAUUCGGAAUCUAAAAAUUUCAAGUGUGAUGCCUGUGAUAAAUCUUUCAAAACGGCAGGAUCAUUGAAAAAGCAUAAAGUACGGCAUGUCGGUGAAAGAUCUUUCUUCUGCAGUGAAUGUAAUAAAGGUUUCUACGAAAAAGCCAAACUUCACCAACAUUUUCGCACUCAUACUGGUGAAAAACCUUAUAGGUGUCACCUGUGCGAAUACAAAUGUGCGCUUUCAGGUAAUCUUAGUAAACACAUGAAAACACAUUAUCGAGAAUUGACAAAUGCUGUGUCAUAGUAAAGCUGCUGUUUUUAUCUUAAAGGGACUCAUUACCAAAUAGGGCAUUUUAUAGGAUAUGUUUGAAGCCCUUGGGCUUACUGUAUAUUUACAUUGUAUCAGCAGUAUCUGUCAAGAUUUUAUGGUAAUAUCUUGUAUACCAUCAAAGAUAUUUACUUCAAACUUGGAACACUUGUUUAUUAUAACAGUCUCUACCUGUAGGCAAGAGUACAUAACUCUGUCAAAUAUUUUGGCUGAAUAAUGGCCCUUUUUACCUCGACUAUUCAAAGAAUAUGGAGAGCUAUACUACUCACCCCGGCGUCGGUGUUGGUUAAAGAUUUUAUGAAAUGGUAAUAUUUUGUAUACCAUCAAGGAUAUUUACUUCAAACUUGGAACACUUGUUUAUUAUAACAGUCUCUACCUGUAGGCAAUAGUACAUAACUCUGUCAUGUAUUUUGGCUGAAUUAUGGCCCUUUUAGGACUUGGAAAUUGGUUCAGUUUUAGUACAAGUACAUAUUUUGUCAAAACUAUUUGAAAUGUGGCUUUGAAACAUUGAAAACUUGUUUAAUAUAUUAGUAUCUAUCUAUAGGCAAGAGUACAUAACUUUGUCAUGUAUUUUGGCUGAAUGAUGAUCCUUUUUGGACUUGGAAAUCAGUUAAAUUUUUCAUACCAGUCCAUAUUUCGCUUAACCUAUUUAUCAUAUGGCUUUGAAACUUUGGUCACUUGUUUACCAGCAUAGUCUACAUUAUUAUGUAGGCAAGACUACAUAACUAGGGCAAUGACUUUAGCUCAGUAAUGGCCCUUUUUAGCUCGACUAUUCAGAGAAUAGUAGAGCUAUUGGACUCGCCUGUGCGUCGGUGUCUGUGUCCACGUCUGCAUCGGCGUCCCGAUUUAAGGUUUUGUAUGUAAGCUAGUAUCUCACAGGUUCCAUAACUCUAUUUUGCUUUUUUUACAAAAUUAUGCCCCUUUUUCGACUUAGAAAUUUUUGGUUAAGGUUUUGUAUGUAAGCUGGUAUCUCAGUAACCACUUGUGGGAAUGGAUUGAAACUUCACACACUUAUUCACUGUGAUAAACUGACCUACAUUGCACAGGUUCCAUAACUCUAUUUUGCUUUUUUACAAAAUUAUGCCCCUUUUUUGACUUAGAAAUUUUUGGUUAAGGUUUUGUAUGGAAGUUGGUAUCUCAGUACUUACUAAUGGGAAUGGUUUGAAACUUCACAUACUUGUUCACUGUCAUGAUCUGACAUGCACUAAGCAAGUCCCAUAACUCUACUUUUUUUUUUCAAAAUUAUGCCCUUUUUUCGACUUAGCAGUUUUUAGUUAAAUUUUUGUAUGUAAUCUGAUAUCUCAGUAUCCACUAAUUGGAAUGGAUUGAAACUUCACACACUUGUUCACUGUCAUGAUCUAACAUGCACUGUGAAGGUCCCAUAACUCUACUUUGCAUUUUUACAAAAUUAUGCCCAUUUUUCGACUUAGCAGUUUUUGGAUAAGUUUUUGUAUGUAAGCUGGUAUCCCAGUAUCCACAAAUUGGAAAGGAUUGACACUUCACACACUUGUUCACUGUCAUGAUAUGACAUGCAGUACAGAGGUUCAAUACCUCUACUUUGCAUUUUACAAAAUUAUGCCCCU